rnacentral:rRNA from 1 species
GACGAACGCUGGCGGCGUGCCUAAUACAUGCAAGUAGAACGCAGUUGCGAACGGGUGAGUAACGCGUAGGUAAUCGCCUCAAAGCGGGGGAUAACCAUUGGAAACGAUAGCCAAUACCGCAUUCUGUGACAUAGACCUGUGUUGUUUUGGCUGGUUGGUGAGGUAAAGGGUCACCAAGGCGACGAUACAUAGCCGACCUGAGAGGGAGAUCGGCCACACUGGGACUGGAGACCGGCCCAGACUCCUUCGGGAGGCAGCAGUAGGGAAUUAUCGGCAAUGGGCGGAAGUCUGACCGAGCAACUGCGGGUGGGUGGAGGAAGUUUUCCGAUCGUAAAGCUCUGUUGUGAGGGGAGCGUUAACUAACCAGAAAGCGACGGCUAACUACGUGCCAGCAGCCGCGGUAAUUC